rnacentral:tRNA from 1 species
GCUUUUAAAGGAGAACAGCUAUCCAU